rnacentral:rRNA from 1 species
CAAGCGGUGGAUGAUGUGGAUUAAUUCGAUGCAACGCGAAAAACCUUACCUACCCUUGACAUGUACGGAAUCCCUGAGAGAUUAGGGAGUGCUCGAAAGAGAACCGUAACACAGGUGCUGCAUGGCUGUCGUCAGCUCGUGUCGUGAGAUGUUGGGUUAAGUCCCGCAACGAGCGCAACCCUUGUCAUUAGUUGCUACGAAAGGGCACUCUAAUGAGACUGCCGGUGACAAACCGGAGGAAGGUGGGGAUGACGUCAAGUCCUCAUGGCCCUUAUGGGUAGGGCUUCACACGUCAUACAAUGGUACAUACAGAGGGCCGCCAACCCGCGAGGGGGAGCUAAUCCCAGAAAGUGUAUCGUAGUCCGGAUUGUAGUCUGCAACUCGACUACAUGAAGUUGGAAUCGCUAGUAAUCGCGGAUCAGCAUGUCGCGGUGAAUACGUUCCCGGGUCUUGUACACACCGCCCGUCACACCAUGGGAGCGGGUUUCACCAGAAGUAGGUAGCCUAACCGUAAGGAGGGCGCUUACCACGGUGGGAUUCGUGACUGGGGUGAAGUCGUAACAAGGUAACCGUA